rnacentral:lncRNA from 10 species
GUGGGGAAGGCUGACUUCUGUCUUAAAGGCUUACUCUGGAUCAUAAUGUUGAGUGAAGGCUGUCAGGAGACAAAGAGGAUAAAAUGAGAAGAUAGCAAUCUGCAAACCAAGAAGCAGACCCUCAUCAGACACUGGCACCUUGAUUUUGGACUUCCCAGCCUCCAGAACUAAACAGGGUUUCACCAUGUUGCCCAGGCUGGUCUCCAACUCCUGAGCUCAGGCAAUCUGCCCACCUCGGCCUCCCAAAGUGCUGGGAUUACAGAACUUUACGAUCCUACAGGACUGGAUCAUAGAGCUGUGAACAUGCACUAUUCCUCAAAACAAGAGAAGAAAGAACCCAAAACCCAAAAAUGAUUUGAAGAUCAUCAGGCCACCACUCCCACCAUAGGAACAGAGGACCUAACUUGGGGAACAGGGCGGCUGCCUCUGCCUCAGUUUCAAAGAGCAGGACCAGUGCCCAAUGGAGCCAUCGGUGCAGCGCCACCUGUAGCAGCAGAGGCACAGCACUACUCAGCAGAGCCACUGAGAAUGCAACAGCAAGACAGCCGUCUACAAACCAGGAAGAGUGCCCUCGCCAGAAAAUGGAUUUGCUGGCACUUUGAUAUUGGAAUUCCCAGCCCCCAGGACUGUGAGAAAUAAAUUUCUGUCAUUUAA